rnacentral:rRNA from 1 species
UUCCCCUAGUAACGGCGAGUGAAGCGGGAAGAGCUCAAAUUUGAAAGCUGGCACCUUCGGUGUCCGCGUUGUAAUCUCGAGAAGUGUUUUCCGUGCUGGACCAUGUACAAGUUCCUUGGAAUAGGACGUCAUAGAGGGUGAAAAUCCCGUACUUGACAUGGACGCCCAGUGCUUUGUGAUACACUCUCCACGAGUCGAGUUGUUUGGGAAUGCAGCUCAAAAUGGGUGGUAAAUUCCAUCUAAAGCUAAAUAUUGGGGAGAGACCGAUAGCGAACAAGUACCGUGAGGGAAAGAUGAAAAGCACUUUGGAAAGAGAGUUAAACAGUACGUGAAAUUGUCGAAAGGGAAGCGCUUGAAGUUAGACAUGCUUGUCGGGAUUCAGCCUUGCUUUUGCUUGGUGUAUUUCCCGGUGUGCAGGCCAGCAUCAGUUUUGUUUGCCGGAUAAGGGUGAGAGGAAUGUGGCCCCUCGGGGUGUUAUAGCCUCUCACUGGAUACGGCGGAUGGGACUGAGGACCGCAGUGUGCCUUUAUGGCGGGCCUUCGGGCACCUUCACACUUAGGAUGCUGGCGUAAU